GAUGAAGAACGCAGCGAAAUGCGAUAAGUAAUGUGAAUUGCAGAAUUCAGUGAAUCAUCGAAUCUUUGAACGCACAUUGCGCCCGCUAGUAUUCUGGCGGGCAUGCCUGUCCGAGCGUCAUUUCAACCAUCAAGCCCCCGGCUUGUGUUGGGGACCUGCGGCUGCCGCAGGCCCUGAAAACCAGUGGCGGGCUCGCUAGUCACUCCGAGCGUAGUAAUACAUCUCGCUCAGGGCGUGCUGCGGGUUCCGGCCGUUAAAAAGCCUUAUUUACCCAAGGUUGACCUCGGAUCAGGUAGGAAGACCCGCUGAACUUAAGCAUAUCAAUAAGCGGAGGA
rnacentral:misc_RNA from 1 species